rnacentral:rRNA from 1 species
UACAGAGGGUGCGAGCGUUAAUCGGAAUUACUGGGCGUAAAGCGCACGUAGUCGGCUUUGCAAGUCGGUUGUGAAAUCCCCGGGCUCAACCUGGGAACUGCAUCCGAGACUGCAUUGCUAGAGUAUGGGAGAGGAAAGCGGAAUUUCUGGUGUAGCAGUGAAAUGCGUAGAUAUCUGGAGGAACACCGGUGGCGAAGGCGGCAUCCUGGACCAUUACUGACGCUGAGGCGGCGAAAGCUAGGGGAGCAAACGGG